UACGGAGGGGGCUAGCGUUGUUCGGAAUUACUGGGCGUAAAGCGCACGUAGGCGGCUUUGUAAGUUAGAGGUGAAAGCCCAGGGCUCAACCCUGGAAUAGCCUUCGAUACUGGGUAUCUUGAGUUCGGGAGAGGUGAGUGGAACUCCGAGUGUAGAGGUGAAAUUCGUAGAUAUUCGGAAGAACACCAGUGGCGAAGGCGACUCACUGGCCCGAUACUGACGCUGAGGCGCGAAAGCGUGGGGAGCAAACAGG
rnacentral:rRNA from 1 species